rnacentral:rRNA from 1 species
GACGAACGCUGGCGGCGUGCUUAACACAUGCAAGUCGAACGAAGUGGCGAACGGGUGAGUAACGCGUAAUCAACCUGCUCUUCAGAGGGGGAAAACAGUUGGAAACGACUGCUAAUACCGCAUACUGAAGGAGGGGUUUGUGUCGGAUUAGCUAGUUGGGGGGGUAACGGCCCACCAAGGCGAUGAUCAGGAGCCGGGCUGAGAGGAUGAACGGCCACAUUGGGACUGAGACACGGCCCAGACGCCUACGGGAUGCAGCAGUGGGGAAACUUCCGAAAUGGACGAAAGUCGGACUGAGCAAAGCCGCGUGAGUGGUGACGGCCUUCGGGUUGUAAAGCUCUGUUAAUCGGGACGCGGUACCGGAAUAGAAAGCCACGGCUAACUACGUGCCAGCAGCCGCGGUAAUAC